rnacentral:ncRNA from 1 species
CAAACUGCAAUGAAGAGUAAAGUACACUUAUAAAUCAGCAACAACAGAGAGCCUGGGUAGAUGAGAACAGGUUUGCUUGAAUAAGUGGAAAAUGGACUCGAAGCAGGAUACCGAGUGUAGCCAAUACAGGUACAUAAGGCUAUCAUGGGUUCGCCCACUACAGCGACGGAGCAUAAGACGACUAUCUGUGCUCUUUGAGGAACCAAUCGAGAGAUGGGUUUAAAUAAAGGUGGUAACACGAACUAAACGUUCGUCCUUAUA